rnacentral:lncRNA from 1 species
UCUAAAUAGUACUAGGAUUAGAUUGAGUUGAUUAGGAUUUAAUUAGGAUUCGGUUUAGGAUUAGGAUUUGGUCUAGGGUUUGAUUUAAGAUUUAGGAUUUUUCUAGGAUUUGAUUUAGGACUCAAAAUUUGUCUAGGAUUUGAUUUAAGAUUUAGAAUUUGAAUUUAGUCUAGAAUUUGAUUUAGGAUUUAGGAUUUGUCUAGGGUUUGAUUUAGGAUUUAUAAUUUAAGAUUUAGGAUUUUUAGGAGUUAUUUAAGAUUUUAUUUAGAAUUUUAUUUAAAAUCUAAAAUUUAAUUUAGAAUUUAACGUUUGUCUAAGGUUUGAUUUAGGAUUUGAUUUAGGAUUUAGAAUUUGUCUAAGAUUUGAUUAAAAUCUAUUAGGAUUUUAAUUAGGAUUAAAUUAGAACUUGAUUGAGAUUUAUUUAAGAUAUAUUUUUAAUUAUUCUAAUAUUUUUUAGGACUUCUUAAGGAUUCUUAUAAGGUUUAUUGUGGAUUUUCUUUCAAUUUUUUUAAGAUUUUUUUAUUAUUUCUUUUGUAAUUUCUUUAAAGUUUCUUUUAAAUUUGAUUAAAGAUUAUUUAGUAUUCUUAAGGUUUAAUUAGAAUUUAUUUAGUAUUCUAUUAGGAUUAAAAUUUUAUUGUUGCAAUUUCCAUUCUACCUUCUAUAGCCAAGUGCCAAGUGCACUCUUGAGUAAGACUUAAUGUAAUAUGACACAUGUUGCCAAGCUAGAUUGAAAUUAGACCUUGAGGCUCAAAACUGAGUACUUACAUUGUUAUUAAGGUUCUUUUGGAUAUUAAAGAGUAAGAUUUGAGAUCAAAAAUAGUUAAGCUUCUCUAAAUAUUGAUUUUGAAGGAUUUCAGUUUGUAAUGACUUUAUAAGAGCUUUGCAAAAUCAAGAUUGUUUUGAAUGAUUCUAGAUUUAAAAUUUAAAAAUGUAGUUGUGUAAAAUAUGUAUAAUGAAUUAGAUUGAAGGUUAUUGAAGUUCAAGUAGAUUGAAGUCUCAAAAAUUUAUUAUUAAGGGUUAGUAAGAGUUUUUAAGAUCUUUAGUAAUUUUCUAUUUAAAUUGAAAUAAAAAUUACUUAUAUAGAUAGGAGACUUAAUUUU